AGCAAAAUACGGAACAAUGUAAUAUUGAAUUAUCUAAUCUUCUAUUAUUUUGGUAACAGAAAAGCCUGCCAGGCUCCUCUGUCCAUGGGGAUUCUCCAGGCAAGAAAACUGGAGUGGGUCGCCGUGCCCUCUUUCAAGGGGAUCUUCCCUACCCAGGGAUCAAACCCAUAUCUCCUGUGACUCCUGCGUUGCAGGCGAAUUCUUUAUCCCUGAGCCACUGGGGAAGCCCCACAUACAACCUACAGCAGGGU
ensembl:lncRNA